rnacentral:tRNA from 1 species
GAGGGUAUAGCUCAAGUGGUAGUGCAUGUGCUUAGCAUGCACGAGGUCCUAGGUUCAAUCCCCAGUAUCUCCA